rnacentral:rRNA from 1 species
GUCUACAGCCAUACCACCAUGAACGCGCCCCAUCUCGUCUGAUCUUGGAAGCUAAGCAGGGUUGGGCCUGGCUAGUACUUGGAUGGGAGAAAUCAAGAGAGCAGGUCUGGUGGCGCAGGCC